rnacentral:rRNA from 1 species
UACGGAGGGUGCAAGCGUUAUCCGGAUUCACUGGGUUUAAAGGGUGCGUAGGCGGUGCGGUAAGUCUGCGGUGAAAUCUCCCGGCUCAACUGGGAGGCUGCCGUGGAAACUGCCGUGCUUGAGUGUGGGAGAGGUGAGUGGAAUUCCCGGUGUAGUGGUGAAAUGCGUAGAUAUCGGGAGGAACACCAGUGGCGAAGGCGGCAUCCUGGACCGGCAUUGACGCUGAUGAGCGAAAGCUAGGGGAGCAAACGGG